rnacentral:rRNA from 1 species
UGCUGUGAGCUCGAUGAGUAGGGCGGGACACGUGGUAUCCUGUCUGAAUAUGGGGGGACCAUCCUCCAAGGCUAAAUACUCCUGACUGACCGAUAGUGAACCAGUACCGUGAGGGAAAGGCGAAAAGAACCCCGGCGAGGGGAGUGAAAAAGAACCUGAAACCGUGUACGUACAAGCAGUGGGAGCCCCACCACUAAGCCAGUGGUGAACUCCACAUACGCAUCCUUUGCUGAGGAUACGGUUAACGGAGCGAAAGCGACGUUCAACCGCAAAAGAAGCAGAGGGGGCUUAGUGGUGGGGUGACUGCGUACCUUUUGUAUAAUGGGUCAGCGACUUAUAUUCUGUAGCAAGGUUAACCGAAUAGGGGAGCCGGAGGGAAACCGAGUCUUAAUUGGGCGUUAAGUUGCAGGGUAUAGACCCGAAACCCGGUGAUCUAGCCAUGGGCAGGUUGAAGGUUGGGUAACACUAACUGGAGGACCGAACCGACUAAUGUUGAAAAAUUAGCGGAUGACCUGUGGCUGGGGGUGAAAGGCCAAUCAAACCGGGAGAUAGCUGGUUCUCCCCGAAAGCUAUUUAGGUAGCGCCUCGUGAAUUCAUCUCCGGGGGUAGAGCACUGUUUCGGCUAGGGGGCCAUCCCGGCUUACCAACCCGAUGCAAACUGCGAAUACCGGAGAAUGUUAUCACGGGAGACACACGGCGGGUGCUAACGUCCGUCGUGAAGAGGGAAACAACCCAGACCGCCAGCUAAGGUCCCAAAGUCAUGGUUAAGUGGGAAACGAUGUGGGAAGGCCCAGACAGCCAGGAUGUUGGCUUAGAAGCAGCCAUCAUUUAAAGAAAGCGUAAUAGCUCACUGGUCGAGUCGGCCUGCGCGGAAGAUGUAACGGGGCUAAACCAUGCACCGAAGCUGCGGCAGCGACGCUGAUGCGUUGUUGGGUAGGGGAGCGUUCUGUAAGCCUGCGAAGGUGGCCUGUGAGGGUUGCUGGAGGUAU